GAGAGUAAAACAGUACGUGAAAUUGUUGAAAGGGAAACGAUUGAAGUCAGUCAUGCCGGCGUUGGAUUCAGCUUGCUUCGCGGAGCUUGCGCAUUUCCUCGCAUGGCAGGUCAGCGUCAGUUUUGCGCGGCGUGAAAAGGCUCGGGUAAGGUAGCUCUCUUCGGGGAGUGUUAUAGACCUGGGCAAAUGCGCAGCGCGGGACUGAGGAUUGCAGCGGACACCUCUUCGGGGGCGCGGCGACCGAACCCUGCUCGGCCACCCUCGUUCGAUAGCGUGCUAGCGGACGCGGGAGCGGCAGUGCACCGGAACAGGCAAGCCAGCGGUUCGCUUAGGAUGCUGACGUAAUGGCUUUAAACGA
rnacentral:rRNA from 1 species